GACGAACGCUGGCGGCGUGCUUAACACAUGCAAGUCGAGCGGAAAGGCCCUUCGGGGUACUCGAGCGGCGAACGGGUGAGUAACACGUGAGCAACCUGCCCUGGACUUUGGGAUAACCCUCGGAAACGGGGGCUAAUACCGGAUAUUACCUUUGCCCGCAUGGGUGUUGGUGGAAAGUUUUUCGGUCUGGGAUGGGCUCGCGGACUAUCAGCUUGUUGGUGGGGUNAUGGCCUACCAAGGCGACGACGGUUAGCCGGCCUGAGAGGGCGACCGGCCACACUGGGACUGAGACACGGCCCAGACUCCUACGGGAGGCAGCAGGUGGGGAAUAUUGCACAAUGGGCGGAAGCCUGAUGCAGCGACGCCG
rnacentral:rRNA from 1 species